CUUCACCGAGCCCAACCACAACGGCUGUCCGUCCGGCCGAUCCCGCCCGUAGGUCGCCAACAGCGCCUGCGCCUC
rnacentral:antisense_RNA from 2 species